rnacentral:rRNA from 1 species
UACAGAGACUGCAAGCGUUAGUCGGAAUUACUGGGCGUAAAGCGUGCGCAGGCGGUUCGCUAAGACAGAUGUGAAAUCCCCGGGCUUAACCUGGGAACUGCAUUUGUGACUGGCGGGCUAGAGUAGUGGCAGAGGGGGGGUAGAAUUCCACGUGUAGCAGUGAAAUGCGUAGAGAUGUGGAGGAAUACCGAUGGCGAAGGCAGCCCCCUGGGCCAAUACUGACGCUACAUGCACGAAAGGCGUGGGGAGCAAACAGGAUUAACGA